CAAUAGCGUAUAUUGAAGUUGUUGCGGUUAAAAAGCUCGUCGUUGGAUUUCUGUUGAGGUCGAACAGUGCCGCCCUAUGGGUGCGCAACUGGCUCGGCUUCGGCAUCUUCUUGGAGAGCGCAUCUGCACUUAACUGCGUGGAUCGUACUUCAAGUCAGUUACUUUGAGGAAUUGUGAGUGUUUCAAGCAGGCUUACGCCGUUGAAUCCGUUAGCAUGGAAUAAUAGGAUAGGACCUCGGUUCUAUUUUGUUGGUUUUGAGAGCUGGGGCAGCGAUUGAUAGGGACGGAUGGGGGCGUCCGAACUUUACUGUCAGAGGUGAAAUUCUUAGAUCGGUCAAAGGCGAACUACUGCGAACGCAUUCGCCAAGAAUGUUUUCUUUAA
rnacentral:rRNA from 1 species